rnacentral:rRNA from 1 species
GAAUGGCCUAGAUUGACGCUGGCGGCAGGCCUAACACAUGCAAGUCGAGCGGCAGCGGGAAAGUAGCUUGCUACUUUUGCCGGCGAGCGGCGGACGGGUGAGUAAUGCCUGGGGAUCUGCCCAGUCGAGGGGGAUAACUACUGGAAACGGUAGCUAAUACCGCAUACGCCCUACGGGGGAAAGCAGGGGACCUUCGGGCCUUGCGCGAUUGGAUGAACCCAGGUGGGAUUAGCUAGUUGGUGAGGUAAUGGCUCACCAAGGCGACGAUCCCUAGCUGGUCUGAGAGGAUGAUCAGCCACACUGGAACUGAGACACGGUCCAGACUCCUACGGGAGGCAGCAGUGGGGAAUAUUGCACAAUGGGGGAAACCCUGAUGCAGCCAUGCCGCGUGUGUGAAGAAGGCCUUCGGGUUGUAAAGCACUUUCAGCGAGGAGGAAAGGUUGGUAGCUAAUAACUGCCAGCUGUGACGUUACUCGCAGAAGAAGCACCGGCUAACUCCGUGCCAGCCGCCGCGGUAAU